GUUCCGGUGGCCUAGUGGUUAGAGCGACGGCCUCGGACGCGGGAGGUCGUGGGUAAGAUCCCCGGUCGAGUCA